UUCAAAAUUAUAGCCUUUUUCCCUCAAACAAAUUUGAGACAAUAUAUAUGGCAUCGUCAGAAAUUGGAGUUACAUAAACUGAGUCACGGUACAUAAGAUAUACAGCACUAUUUUUUUCUUCUUCGUAUUAAUUCAAUUUUUUUUAGCCCUUUUACCUCUUCGUUUCUCAAACUUGUGUUAGUAGUUCUCAGGAGGGAAACAGAAGAGGGGAAACGAAAAGAUCUGCUGAGAGUUUUAUUUUUGCUUCCUCAGAAAAUCUGAGGAAAACUUCAAAAACAUGAAGCGAUUGAGAGAGGAUGGAUAUGGUAACCCUCAAUUGAAGCGGCCAUUUGGUUCUUCUCGUGGAGAAUCCUAUGGUCAAUCACAAGUUCCUGGAAGUGGUUUGGGCAGAGGAGGAGGUGGCAACAACACAGGCGGAGGUGAAGCAGGUGCUAGUGCUAGCACCCAAAAGUUGACAACUAAUGAUGCGUUGUCUUAUUU